rnacentral:rRNA from 1 species
UACGGAAAGCAGCAGUGGGGAAUAUUGCACAAUGGGCGCAAGCCUGAUGCAGCCAUGCCGCGUGUAUGAAGAAGGCCUUCGGGUUGUAAAGUACUUUCAGUCGUGAGGAAGGUGUUAAGGUUAAUAACCUUAGCAAUUGACGUUAGCGACAGAAGAAGCACCGGCUAACUCCGUGCCAGCAGCCGCGGUAAUACGGAGGGUGCGAGCGUUAAUCGGAAUUACUGGGCGUAAAGGGCACGCAGGCGGUUAAUUAAGUUGGAUGUGAAAUCCCCGGGCUUAACCUGGGAAUGGCAUUCAAGACUGGUUAGCUAGAGUCUUGUAGAGGGGGUAGAAUUCCAUGUGUAGCGGUGAAAUGCGUAGAGAUGUGGAGGAAUACCGGUGGCGAAGGCGGCCCCUGGGACAAAGACUGACGCUCAUGUGCGAAAGCGUGGGGAGCAAACGAGGAUUAGAUACC